GUCUAUAUUUUCAUUUAGGAUUCUAAUCAUACAAGUCCAUGAUUUCUAAUUUCUCAAUCACAUAAUCUAAGUAUUUUUAAUGCUAUAAUCAUGAUUAGAAGUCCAAUGAUUUUCAUAAGCAUGUUACUAAUCUAAGUAAAAAUGAAUUAGCGGUCGUGUAUUGGGUUUAUAUAAUCACUUGUGUGGCAAUUUCUAAUUAUGCCCUUUUCACUCAAACCAUCAUAGUUUUUUUUUUUUCUUUUUUUCUUUCUAUUUUAACAUCACUACAACUUGGAAAAUGUACCAUUAACUAAUGGGUUAUUACAAUGAUAGGGAAAAAUAAAUAGAAUAGGUGUACUUGAUAUUUUAACGAAGAUUGAAGUUUUAGUUGUCAGUAAAAGCAUUGAACGACGGUUUUGAUGUAAUCUAAAAGUUUCUAUUGAGGAUUUACAUGUUGUGAAUAAUUUUAUCAUGAACAAUAUUGAGAUGAGUCACCAUGUUCAAGAGAGGUAUGGUGUUCUAGUGAUACUUUGUUUAUGACGUACGUAGCUUCCGAAAGGUGAGGAUGUUAUUAAGUUUUUUAUGAGAGUUACAAGAUGAUAUUUGUUGUGAAACAUACAUCAUACAUAGGUUGUUUAACAUGCAACGAUGAAGGACCCGUGGGAUGUUUUAGCCUGGAGGUGUUUAAGCUUCGGAAUGUGGUACUUAAGUUCACCCUAAAGUGUGUUGUUCCUUUUUUUUUUUUGACAUGUCCUCCUAGUAUACUAUCUUGAAUUUGAAUUAUUGGUUCAACAUGAGAUGGAUGAACAUUGCAUUUGACAUGUUAACCUGAAGAUUUAUUUUUCAAAUGUACUUCUAUGUAUUUGCUUCAAUCGAUUGAAAUUAUUAUAUACCAUUUGAAGUGAUUUGUAACUUAUCUCACCCCAUGUUUUCUCCAUAUUUAUCUUUAAUGAAUUAUAUGCAGGCCCGAACCUAAAUAGGAUGAGACCGAGUAGUAGUAUCGAGGUGUUUCUUCAUGAGAAUAAAGUGGAGCAUUAGGGUGUUCUAUAUAUGUAAUUUUUUUUAAGAAUAAAUGUUCUCUUCCUUAAUAUAGACUAUAUUUCCUUUUCUUUGAGCAUUGCACUCUCUUUUUCUUCGCCUGAUGUUUCCCGUUAUCAUUUGUUUUAGGUCUAACUUAGAUGUCCUCCAAGUUUUGUAUUCUCGAUUUUAAUUUUAUGUUAUUGUGAGUUAGCUUGAUUUUUAAGUUGAUUGAUGGAUUACCAACCAAUAUAUUUUAUUAGUUUAUGUUGUAUUUAUGUGACUAUGGAUGACCGUUGGAGUAAGCUCUAGAGGCCAAUAAGUUACUAUAGCAGAAAUUAGAAUUUUGAAAUAUUAAAUAGUAUUCUGCUAUUGUUUUAUUAUUGUUUUCUAUUUAAUUUUAUGUUUUGAUAGAAUUAUGUUGAGGUUGUGUCUCCGCAUUAUUUUAAGAUAUGAAAAAUUGGCAUAUUGAAGGUCCCGUUUGGAUUAGCUUAUUUUUGAGUUUAUGCAAACAGCUUAUGCAAUAUAAAUUAGGUUUUAUGCUAUUUUAUAAGUUCACACUAGUUAAAAUUGUAUUUUUAUAAACUGGUUUAUCAUAAACUACCUUGACACACUUAUAAUAAUACAUAAAAAAUAAUCCACUUAGGUUGGUGCAUUGGUAUUGGCUUGGGACCUAGGAGUGUGCUCCUCUUGAGGUCUGAGGUUCGAUUCUCUCUGGCGCCAAUUUGGGUGGGCUAAUUUAGCUUCUUCAAAAAAAAAAUAAUACAUAAAAAAUGCAUAAGUUGUUUGUAUAAAGCUCAAAAAUAAGCUAAUCAAAACGGGGUUUUGAUAAACUUGAAAUGUGUUUAGAAAUGGUAUAGCCGUGUCGGACUUUCAAAAAAAUAAUUUCUUUCGAUUUUUGAGAAAACCGUCAAGAUGUACCCGAUGUUUAAAAUUUUACGGACUCUCAAAAUUUAAACAAAGACAUUAAAUAUUGACCGUAGUGAGAAUUUGAUCUCAUUAUAUUUUUCCAAGCUAAGGAGCUAAAAUUUAUUCGGAUGAAAAUUUAUUUAGGAAUGAGUUGUUUUAAUUAAACAAGUUUACAAUAUAUUUUUUCUGUUUCUGUAAAACUUAAGCGCAAACGCGAAGAUAAGAUUCUUUUAAGUGCAAACGCGAGAACUGAGCGAGACGACGUGACUUAAAUUCACAAAAUAACUAUAUAUUUUCUAAGAUAUUAUUAUUUUAAUGUUUGUGAGAGAGAUCUAAUAGCUAGGAUUUGAUCCAAUGGCUCACAAUUAAUGGCUAGAUUUAUAAAUAGAUAAAUAACAACCAUUUCUCUUCCUUUCUCUCUUGAUCAGCCUAACACUUUGAUGACAGUCAAUUAUAUGAUGUUUUUAGUAGUAAUUUAGGGUAGUUCUAAUAGUAAUUGAAGCCCAAAAGCAAGCAAAUACCUGGAAAAGUGGAGUUACUUGGCCAAGAAGCAAGAAAAGUGGAAAAAGCAGCAAAAAAGGGCAAAAACAUAAUAAACAGCACAACCAUCAUACCUACGAUGAGAUCCAGCGUGGCGCGAUGAGAAGACGAUUUAAAUUGAAGAAAAUCUGCAACAAAUCUUUAUCAUCGUACCACGAUGACUUGUUAUCGUGGCACGAUGAAAGGCGGUUGAAGAAAGCAGAAAAUCUGGAGAAGAUCUUCCAUCGUACCACGAUAUGAUCCAUCGUGGCCACGAUGGGUGCGAUGGACACGCAGAAAAAUCCCAAACCCAGAGAAACUAUAAAUAGAGUGUUCCUCCUUCACUAUUAUUCAUUCCAAAGUAUUCAGAGAAAUUGAAUAUUCACUCUAGAGUUAGGAGAACUCUAAGGAGGAGGCAAGGAAGACCAAGGAACUCCAAGGCAAUAAGGUUCUUUUCUUUAUUGUCUUUGUAAUUUAUUUUUCCUAGGUUAGAUGGAGUCGAUGAACUCCUUUACAAAUGCUUGGUUUUGUAUAAUUUGGGUAUAAAUUCAAUUGUUCCUAUUUGAAAUUAUGGUAUAGCAGAACCAGAUGUUGUACAGGAUGACGAAGCAUCUGGUCUGUCAUGAAUAGUAUGGCAAGACAUAUAACAUUAACAACAAAUACUGAAAAACGUAAACAGCAGAUGUUCUACACGAUGCUCCAACAUUUGUUAGGAGCGAUAAUAUACUGAUGUUGAACGCGAUGCUUAAGCAUCUCGUACCAGUACAGACACGUUAAUCAUAAAGUGCAGAACGUAAAUAACACAAGUUAUUUGUUAACCUAGUUCGGUGCAACGUCAUCUAAUCUGGGGGAUACCAAUCCAGAAGUGAAUCCACUCUGAUAGUAUUAGUUCAAAGCCCUCAAUAAACGUCCCGUUUAUGACUUCUCACCUAAUCACUACCCGUGCUAUAUUCUACCUAAGACAUUCUACCUAAGACACACCUAGGUAUGAGAACCUCCGCUCAACUCCUCUUAAUCACAGCAACUGUGAUCGUACACGUUACAACUUGUAGAUGAAGACACACUUCUUAAACAUUUGCCAAUUCCGUACUUCAAAGAUUAGGAAUGGUUCACACACACUAUCUCCUUGCGUAGAAUCUUCAGAGAUAUUACAACACUCUACUCAUUACCUAAAGGUUUCUAAGUGAGGACAUAGUGACUAUCUCACAACCCGAGUGGUUCACUUACACUAACUCUACUAGAGAGUGGCUUAAAGACACAAAACCCAAAAGACUACAUCUUUGAGAAACAAUGGCUUGCGUGACCAAAUUAGGUUUAGCUCCUUUCUUUAUAUUGCAUAAGCAACAUGGGCUUUGAUGAGUAAACAGCUGCACAAUACUUAAGCUCCAAGAAGUCUUCUAGAGGAAAAAUAUAUUUUCCACAGAUAUAUUUUCACCAAAUAUUUAUUCCUUCCAUAAUUAUAUUUUCAAUAACAAUCUCCUUGAAUAUAUUUUCAAUAAUAAUAAUCUCUUUGAACCAAAAAGAUUUAUUUGAAAUAAAUCUUUUAUAAUUUUUGCAACAAUCUUCACAAAAUAUAUUUUAAAAUCAAAUUUUUUAUUUCUUAAUAUUUUAUGACAAUCUUGGGGAACAAGUAACACAUAAACCGCCUUCUGAAGAUUCUGGAAACACCUGUGUCUUGGCACACAAGUUAAAAGGCUUGGAUUAAUUCUUCAAUCAAAUCUUUCAAAGAUCUCACGCAAAAAUAUAUCAUUCGCGAAAACAUAGCGCACUGGAUGUGGUAUCCAAUGUUGAAGCACUGGAUGUCGUAUCCAAUGUUGAAGCAUUCUAUCCAACAUCUUGCUUGAAUAUUUGUUUUAGCAAAAUGAGGCCAACACAAAUCUCCAACAAUCUCCCCCUUUGGCAAAUUUUUGGCUAAAACAAUCUUAGACCGUUUAACCAUUCCAGAGAGAUACGAACACAACUAGCCUCACAUAACCUUCAGUAGAGAGAUAUAAACUCUCACAAUAAAACCAGUCAAGGUGAAAUUAACUCCUUUAAAUAUAGAAAGAUAAAUUCUCCUUAAGAACACUUGAGAAAAAUAAAUUCCCACAUCAUCCGGAUGUUUCAACAUUUGAUAGGACAUCACAACACCCAGACAUACAUUAAGCGCAUACAAGCAGAGCACUACAUCACUGUACUACUCUUCACAGAUUCAACAGAGCAUGUCAGAACAUCAGGCACAAUUCUCUCCCCCUUUUUAGACACAAAAUAUGCCAAACAGAAACUUCAUGCAUUGAGAACAAUAGUAAUGACCAUCAUAGUAAUACAUAGUGGAGAGUAUCAGACCAUAGCAGAUCUAUAUUUCUAUGUCUAUGAUUAUGAUCAUGCCCUAUGCUUUAAGUUUAAAUGCUUUUUGAAGAUCUUGCAUGCACAACAUUCAAAUAACUACUCCCCCUCAAGAGAUGCAUAACAGAGUAUCAAAACAUCACACACCAUAUGUGCAGAGCACAUUUAUAACAUAUGCAGAGCACAUAUAUCAGAUACUAUACAUCACAUGUUGCUACCGCACACACAUCAGAUGUUAGAGCAUCCGUCAACACAUCAUGUACACAGAACACAUCACAGAUCACCACCCCCCUUUUAAGCCACAUAUUUUGACAAAUAGCCACACAUUAAGCAAACCACAGAGUAGCAGUUAGGAAAAGUAAAUUCCAACAUAAUUGAGAAAAAUAAAUUCUCAGGCAACUAGGAUGUUUCAACAUCUGUCGGGACAUUGCGUUCACACUCAAGUACAUAAUCAAACAGAGCAAUCAAACAGAGCAUUACACAACAAAAUAGUAACUGCUUACUUCAUUAUGCUACUCCCCCUCAAUAUCAGAAUCAGAGCAAUUAAUUUCACUUCUCCUGAAUACAUCGAAACAUGCUUAUCAGAAUGAUAAUCAAAAAACAAUUCUUACUCCCCCUCAAUUUUAUCAUCCAUAUCAGCAUAUAAGCAUGCAACAGCACAGAUUCAAUACUACACUACACAGAUUAGCAGAUGUCUAAGCAUCUGGCACCACAUCAUAUAGUAGAACGCAUCCAUAUAGCAGAACACAUCCAACCACUACACAUACUAGCAGAAGAGUAUGCAUAUGUUUCAACAUCAGUUAGCACAUCAGACAUUAGCAGCGCAACAUAUCAUUCAUACCAACUACCAAACUACUUCCCUUUUUAGUCAGAAGUUUAGACAUAUUAGGGCCUUCAUGCAUUCAUCAAGGAGUAAAAUAGAAAAAAGAUCAUAAGUAUCCAUAGUGCGGAUUACCAAAAUCAUAUAAUGCAGAUUAUUACAGAUUAUUACAGACCAUAUGCGCACACGGUGCUUCAAAUUAUCUAGGGCCUAGUGCACAAAUAUCCGAAGAACAAAAGUAGUGGAAAGAGAACAUGAGAGCUUUCAUCCACAAUACCAUACCCAAGAAAAACCAUAACAAUGCGCCAACAAUAUAACAUGAAGGUCGUAAGUCAUUAGAGACAUAAACUUAUACCACCUUCAUCACAUCAAGCACUGAGUGCCCAGAGAUACUACAACCGAAGAUAACACCAUGAGAUACAUAUCUCAUCAACAGUGGAGGAAACAUAUCAUAUCCACCACAUCAAACAUCAUAGUCAACACUUCAUAAAAUAAACAUUGUCCCUUUGUUUGCACAAUAUGACUUCACACAAUUCUGUUGAUCUUUACCAAAAUCCAGCUUCUCAUAGAGCUUAUCUCCGUUAAAUCACAGACUUUCACUUCUGAACACUUUCUUCAAAAUGAAAGGGACAUUAUCUAAGAUUCCAGAAGAGUUACUAACACCCAAACUUUCUUCAGGUCAAGUGACAUGACACAUCGCCUGUUUCAAAUUGUUUUGUCUCCUAGCUACUAGUAUAAAUAUGUGUCCUUUCUUACACUUUAAAACACACACCAACUUGUAACAGUUGAGGAAGAAAAUUGAGACUUAGAUUUAUUCUAGUUUCUUCUCUUUGUUUAAAUUUUUAUUACCUGCUGUUGCGUUGUCGGUGUCCGUACUCAAGAUUUCUUUUAUUAAUUCAGGUUCAUUAUUUUAUUUUAUUUUAUUUUUUAAUUUUUAUUUUUAUUUUAUUUAUUUUCUUUUUCUGUUUUUAUUUAAUGUCUUUAUUUUUAUUUAUUUAUUUUAUGUCUUUAUUUUUAGUUAUGUCUAGCUAAAUUUAGCAUUGCUAGGAUGUGUAGUUAGUAGCUAAUAAGGGUUCGGUAGUUGAUUCGUGCGAGUAGUUUUCAACAACCAGUUUUAAAUAAUACGUUUUCAAAUAAUUUGUCACGACAGUGAGAAUUGUUUUAAAGGCAAUAAACCAACAUUAACGACAGUUGAGGUUUAGGGCCGGAUAGUUAAAACUGACCGUUAGUUCUAAAGUCCGCGACAGCUAUUUAGGAUUGAUGAGUUUUAUAUUGGUUGUCAAAGGUACUUAUAUAGGUAAGUGAGCGCGUGAGAGCAGAGCAUUUAUUUUAUAUAAGUAUAACGCUAGUCAAGAUUUGCGACAGCUGAGAUUAGUGUUUUUAAAUCAAAUAUAAUUCUUGAAAACUAAUGACUGUUUUAUUUUCUUAAGCAAUUUUUAAUUAAACGUUGAUUAUAAUUCGUCACGAGAGUGAGAAUUAAUUAAAGUAAAAAUCAAUAAAGCGACAGUGUGAGAUUUCUACUAGAUAGUAAAAACUGAACAUUAAUUCUAAUUUGCAACGACAGUUGGGAUUAAAGUUAAUUAAAUUAUAUUGCUUUUCAAAGAGUAUUUUAUUAGCGGAUGUGAGAACGAGAGUUAAGCAUCACCUUUAUAUUAUAUAAUGCUGGUCAAGAUUUGCGACAGCUGAGAUUAGUAUUUUUAAAUCAAUAUAGUUUCAGAAAUUUAACAGUUCGUUUAGCACGAAUUUAAUAUUGAACCCUUUGAAGCAACUAAUAGCAUGUCCUAGCAGUAUUUUAUUUACAUAUUAAAAAAUCUAAAAAAUAUAUAUUUCUCUUAUUUUAAUUAUUCUAUUAUUCAAAACCCUUUAAAUCAUUAGGCUUAGAUUUACAAAGCGACACUAGAUAACGAUAGGUCGAUUAUUGGACCUUUGGGUUCGAUAAUCUUUUAAAACUACGCGACACAACUGUAUACUUGCAGUUAAGUUGAUAAACACGCGAUCAACGGGGUGGUUAAGUUUAGUCGGAUCUCUCCCUNNNNNNNNNNNNNNNNNNNNNNNNNNNNNNNNNNNNNNNUGGUUGUUCAAUUCUUUCCCUCUAUUAGGAUUUAGACUGUUGAAAAUAGGUUUGAAGCAAUAUCUGUUCCUAUUUCUAUUACAAGCUGUACAGAGCCUAGUUAAAGGUUACCCUUACUUAUUUAAGCAUCAUUGCCCCAAAGUUCCACUUUUUCAUUUAAACUUUGGUCUCAUUACCCCGGUGACUCCGUGUGUCAUAAGCUGUCAUGUGUGCCUAAAACUAGUCACUUACCCACAAGAAACUCUGUAAGGUAGAAAUUAUUGUGCGUUCCAAUCCUAUAUUGAGACCUCAAAUACUGAAUUUAAUGGUCUCAUGUUGGCCCUAGCAUAUCGUCCUUCGUUCGGGAUUACUAGCUUCGUUUUCUAUGUGAUAUCCAUUAGGUCCUUAGAUUUUAAUCUAAUGUGAUCAAUAGUAAAAUAAAUAUAUUACCAGACGAUAAAAGAGUUAGCAAUAAGAAAGCAAUUGAAUUAUACCCAAAUUGUAUAAAUUACAAAACCAAGCAUCCGUAAGGGAGUUCCUCGACUCCCUAACCUAGGAAAAAUAAAUUACAAAAGCAGAAAGAAAAGAACCUUGUUGGCCUUGGAGUUCCUUGGCCUCAUUGCCUUCUCCUUAGAGUUCUCCUACUCUAGAGUGAAUAUUGAACAGGUCUAAAUAUUUCUGAAUGAAUAAUAGUGGAGGAAGGAGGCUCUUUUUAUAGUUUUUCAGUUUGGUUUGUGCUUUUUCUGCGCCUCUAUCGCACCCAUUGUGACCACGAUGGCGUGUAUUUUCACACGAUGGAUCCUAUCGUGGUGCAAUGGAAGAUCUUCUCAGGAUUUUCUGCAUAUUUGUCAAGUCAUCAUCGUGCCACGAUGACAAGCCAUCGUACCACGAUGGAAAAGAUUUUCUGCAGAUUUUCUUCAAUUAAACCGCCUUCUCAUCGCGCCACGCCGAGACUCAUCGCGGGUACGAUGAUUGCGUUGCCUUAUUACAUUUUUGCCUUUUUUUGCUGCUUUUUCCACUUUUCUUGCUUCUGAUUCUUGUAACUUUACUUUUCCCGGUAUUUGCUUGCUUUUGGGCUUAAAUUACUAUUAAAACUAUCCUAAAUUACUACUAAAAACAUCAUAUAAUUGGCUGUCAUCAAGCGGUUUCACAUGGAAAAGGCAAAACCAAUUGCUACUCCACUUGCUAGUCACUUUUGUCUUAGUGCAAAGCAGAGUCCGACAACAGAAAUUUAAAAGCAGGAGAUGAACAAGGUGCCAUAUGGUUCUGCUGUUGGAAGCUUGAUGUAUGCAAUGGUAUGCACACGAGUAGAUAUAACACACGCGGUUGGUGUAGUUAGUAGAUUCUUGGCCAAUCCAGGAAAGGAGCAUUGGAAUGCUGUGAAGUGGAUCUUGCGAUAUCUAAGAGGAACUUCCAAAAUGAGUUUGUGAUUUGGAAGUAGAAAUCCUGAACUAAUUAGCUACACAGAUGCAGAUAUGGCGGGAGAUAUUGAUUCUAGGAAAUNNNNNNUUGAUUAUAUUUUCAGGGGGAGCUGUAUCGUGGUAGUCAAAGCUACAAAAGUGUGUUGCUUUGUCUACCACAGAGGCAGAGUUCAUUGCAACAACAGAAGCUUGCAAGGAAAUGUUAUGGAUUAGGGCAAGACCAACAGAAGUAUAUAUGUCGUGCAUUGUGAUAGUCAGAGCGCCAUCCAAUUGAGCAAGAUAUAAGUUGCACCAGGCCUCUAAAGGUGCAGAAGGUAAGGGCUCCCAAACGAUCAACAUGAUCGACCCUGCGACUCGUUUAAAGCUAUGUGCCCAAUCAUCUAGGGGAAAAACUGUUAUGACUACAUAUUUUGUCCAAAUUGUUAGUGUCUUAUCUGUUUAUUUUGACACUUGUAAUAGUGUGAAUUUUUGUUAACACUACACUUUAGUUUAAUUAGGUGAUUUUUUUAUGAUAUGACUUAAUUUGCUUAGUUUUAAAUUUAGUUAUUGUUUAGUUUGUGUUUGUUUGGUAUUGGUUAUCUUGUUAGAUGAAAAUGAAUGAAGUUAUGUGAUAGUAGCAUACAAUUGCUACUAGCUGUUUAUAAAAAUAAAAAUAAAAAUUGACCUUACCCACGGUAAUGCUUUCCUAUGGCAAAGUCGUGGGUAACUAUUUAGAGUAUUUAUAAAUGUUUUCUAUGGCAAAACCGUCGGUAUGCUCUACUCAUGGUACUACCAUGGGUAACCAUCCACGGCAAAGUUUUGGAUAAUAAUGUGGGAAAAACCGUGGGUAACCCGUGGGUAGAUCUCAUGUACUCAUAGUGAAGUCGUGGGUAAUGUCAAAAAUGGCCGUGGGUAUAGACAUGUUUUCUUGUAGUGAACUAAACCAUGAUAGAACCGCGUGCUCAUGGUUUUGCUUUCACUCGGCAAGUGAAUGUUAUUGGAAAUCUUUAAUGGGCUGUCUCGUUCUAACCAUAUUUUAUUUAACCACAAAAUUCAAACGUGAGACAUUCAAGAUAUGUGGGUCAUGUUACACAAAUUUCAAUACAUAAAAUAAAAUAAUAAAAGGUUUAUAAAACUAAAAUGAACUCUAUAAUUUCAAGCAAAGUUAUUUUGUGUGCUUGCGAUUUUGCUAUCACUCAAGAGAAUUUUAUUGGAAAUAUUUAAUGGGAUCUCUCAUUCUAACCAUAUUUUACUUAACCAGAAAAUUCAAACGCGAGACAUUCAAGAUAUGUGGAUUCCAAUACAUAAAAUAAUUUUCGUUUUUCCCACUCUAUAAUGAAAGGAUAGACAAAAAAUAAAAAUUAUUAUAAUAAUAAUGAAAGGUUGGAAAAACAAAAAUGAACUCUAUAAUUACAAGCAAAGUUAUUUUUGUGAUAUAUAUAUUCUAUGAACUAAAGGAACAAAUAUUAUUCAUCAGUGUUCUUUAGAAACAUUUAAUAAUUAUUCUAAUUUUAGAAAAUAAAUUACAGCAACAACAAAAUCAUUAAAAACUACUUAAUUGAUGUAAACAUAAGAAACAGUUUUUACUAUAUAAAGUGAUUAAACCAAUUUAAAUUUGUUACAAUUAAAGGUAAAAAAUGGCUCAAACUCUCAAAUUUGCUUAUACUGUGAUCCUUUUUGUUUCCCUUUAUGUCGUUGUAGUCUUUGGCUCAAGCUAUAGUAAGCUCAUUCUCAUAUUAUAUUUUUUUAUUUUAUACACAAUCAUUCAUUUAUUUUAGUAAUAUUUCCUUAUUUUUAAUGUACAUUACAGAGUGUGAUACUGAUGAAGAUUGCUAUAAAUUAUUCCCAGAUAUAAUUAUUCCAGGAAUAAUGAAGUGUUGGGAUGGUCUUUGUGGCUUAAAAAUAUUGUAAGUGUUAUUUCUCUAUUAUUACCUCCUAGUUUUUUGCUCAUCAUAAUAUUUCACUCUUAUAAUUUCUCUUAUACUUUCAUAUCUUUCUCCGAUUUCGUAAAUCAUGUUAAACAUUUUUUUUAAUGGAAUAUAUAUAUAAUAUUAAUAAACGAUUACAAGGUGUAAUCGAAUGAAGAAGCAUAAUUAAUAUAUUAUGAAAUCUUUGUUAUUAGUUAUUGUUGGGGAAUUAACAAUGUUGAGAUUUUUAAGGAUAAAUAUGACCUACAUGAUUGAUUUAUAAUCUAAGAAGAUUAGAAUUGAGUAUAGAGCUCAAGAGAGACGAGAGCAAAUAAUUGAAUUUUUUACACUUUACAAUGUUAUCUUGAGGAUGUCUUGUUACAAGUAUAUACAUGUAUAUGUACAUCUUUGAAGGUUUUGUUUUCAAAUGUAUUUUUGUGUAUUGGUUUCAAUAAAUUGAAAUAGUUAUACCACUGAAGUGAUUUGUAAAUCAUCUCACCCCGUGUUUUUUAUAUAUUUAUCUUUAAUGAAUUAUAUGCAGGAACACGAAGUAGUAUCGAGGUGUUUGUUCAUGAGAAUAAAGUAGAGCAAUAGGCUGUUCUAUGAGUUUGUUGGAUUAUUCUAAAAAAAAUAAUAGUGGGAUGCUAUCCCCCAUUCCCCACUAAGAUAGAUUAUGUUAGUUUUCUUUGAGCACUGCACUCUUUUUUCCUUCAUCUGAUUUUUCCUACGGGAUUUAAAGGUAAGGUUUUUAAUGAGACAGUUGUCAUUUGUUUUAGGUCUAACUUGGAUGUCCUCCAAGUUUGUAUUCUCGAUUUUAAUUUUAUGUUAUUGUGAGUUAGCUAGAUUUUAAGUUGAUUGAUGAAUUGCCGACCAAUAUAUUUUGUUAUUUUAUGUUGUAUUUAUGUGACUAUGGAUGACACUUGGAGUAAGCCCUAGAGGCCAAUAAGUUA
rnacentral:lncRNA from 1 species